ensembl:snRNA U6 U6 spliceosomal RNA
GUUCUCGCUUUGGCAGCACACAUACUAAAAUUGGAGUGAUAGGGAAGAUUAGCAUGGCCCCUGCACAAGGAUGACACGCAAAUUCGUGAAGUGUGCCAUGUUUUA